AAAGAGAAUACAUGAAAACAAAAAUCAUAAAAGAAAACGUACUCGAAAUUGUUUAUAGUUUUCCGUACCAUUUUUCAUGCACAUUUCUUUAAUAUAUUUUCCACAUAAAUUAUUGAUCAAAUUCCUGAAAAUAGCAUAUCGAAAUUGGUAUGAGGACCGCAUUAUGGAUCAGCAUCACUGGAUUAUUAGUACUAUACAUAGCUAAGUCAAUUGACCCAUUACUUAAGCAUUCGUACCUCCACCACUUGUGCAAAAUAAUUUAGGAUUGCAUAAAAAAUAAAAAAAAAAUCAUAAAAACGACAUCAAGAAGGAAAUUCAAACACGGCACCUCGAAUGCAGGAUAAAUGCUCUUAACCCUUGUUAGGUACGAACCCACUUAAUUAGUAGUCGAUGUUUGUGAAGGGAAUAAUCACAAGCCAUGUUGCUGCUUUAUAAUAACUAGGGGGUUUGCUGAUUAACAUUAGCUGAUAUCGUCCAAAGGAGCCUGAAGAAGGGGCCUAGGGAUUGAGUCAUAAAAGGAAAAUAUAAUUAAUAAGAUCACAGCCCCACAUUUCCAUCAAAAGAAAUCAGUGGUGUGAAAUGCCUGCCGGGUCGUGGGCUGCAUGCAUGCAUCUCUCUCUCUCUCUACCCUACACCAUUCCAAAAACACCAUCUUAUGAAACAGAAUAGUACAAUAUCUGCGAUUACAACAUGAAAGAUUCUUCCUCAAUUUGUACAUCUUUUUCUUUUUGAUUUUUGUUUUCUGUGUAGGCUUAACAUGGAAAAAAGCAAUUGGGAUGUUAAAAUGUCAUGGUCAUAUAUAAUUUCGAUUCCUGGUAUUUAGUGCUGGGGACAUUGAUCACCAAUUUGCAGUAUCGUCCUUGGGUUAUAAUUGAGACAGGUAAAUUACUCAAAUGGUUCUUAAAUUUAUACGCGAUUUAUAUUUUGGUCCAUAAAUUAAAUUAUUAGUCCAAAUGGUACAUAAACUCUAUUUUAAUCGCUCAUUUGAUCCAACCAUUACAUUUUCUGUUAAAUGUAAACAAAUUUUAGGGGCAAAUACGACUUUUCAUAAUUAACAAAUAAAAUAGGAUUGAAAUAAAUACAAAAUUAGAAAACAAUUGAAGAAAAAGAGAAAAAAAAAUCAUGAGACCCAAACCCCCUCUCUUCGAUUCUUCUCCCCGAUUCCAUACAAACCUCUCCAAUUACUGGUGUUCGUAAAAUAAAAAAAUAAAAGAUGGUUUGUCA
rnacentral:lncRNA from 1 species